GGGGGUGCAGCUAAGUGGUAGAGUGCUUGUCUAGUAUGUGCAAGGUCCUGGGUUUGAUCCCCAGUGCCACCA
rnacentral:tRNA from 1 species